rnacentral:rRNA from 1 species
GAUGAACGCUGGCGGCGUGCCUAAUACAUGCAAGUCGAGCGAACAGAUGAGGAGCUUGCUCCUCUGACGUUAGCGGCGGACGGGUGAGUAACACGUGGAUAACCUACCUAUAAGACUGGGAUAACUUCGGGAAACCGGAGCUAAUACCGGAUAAUAUAUUGAACCGCAUGGUUUAAUAGUGAAAGACGGUUUUGCUGUCACUUAUAGAUGGAUCCGCGCCGCAUUAGCUAGUUGGUAAGGUAACGGCUUACCAAGGCAACGAUGCGUAGCCGACCUGAGAGAGUGAUCGGCCACACUGGAACUGAGACACGGUCCAGACGCCUACGGGAGGCAGCAGUAGGGAAUCUUCCGCAAUGGGCGAAAGCCUGACGGAGCAACGCCGCGUGAGUGAUGGAGGUCUUCGGAUCGUAAAACUCUGUUAUUAGGGAAGAACAAAUGUGUAAGUAACUAUGCACGUCUUGACGGUACCUAAUCAGAAAGCCACGGCUAACUACGUG